CGUAACCUGAUAAAAAUCCCUAAGCUUUCGACAUUUUCGUCUCCCUUCAUUAUACAAAGACUUUUCAUCUUUGUUGUUAUCGUCUGUGGCACUGGAAAGCAUCCGUUUCUUUUUUCUUCGUGGUUACUCUCCCUUAAUUCAAUCAUCACGAUCUAGCCUUGAAUGCGUGCUUUGAUUAGGAGUCAGUGAAUCUGAGAGUAUAAAUAGGUGAACAUUCUUUCUCUUACAAUCAUCUUAUCGGCAGCGGAGGGUUACAAUCCCAACGAUUUUGCUCGCCGACUUCAAAUCUGGGCGCUAUUCCAACACCGUCGGAGUCCGAUUGUAUAGAUUAUUGGAAGUCUGAAACCUUAAGAAAGGCGGCGAACUCAUGGCCUAUGUGUCUCAUGGCUGGUCGACAUGCUCCUCGGUCGACAAUGAUUCAAAGUUCUGUUAACGCACACUGGCUCAACACCUUCAGGCUCAAUGUACUCUGUUACUGGGUAUUACACGUAGCAACCCAAACUUCAAGCUGUCGGAUUCCAAGCUCUCCAUACGGUUCGAUGAUGAGACCGCCUUUGCUGAGAUUACCGACUCGGUCAAUCCGAUACGAUUGGAGUUGUUUCUGGAAUGAAGAGAAUCUGCUUGCUUUGGCUAACACCAGUACUCAUCUUCCUGACAUCGUUGGCCAGUUGACCGGGAGCAAAGGCAACCAUUAAAAUUCAAAGGGAUGUAUCGGGUUGGCUUGUGGUACGUUCGAUGCAACGACUGCUGCGUUUCUUGAAGAUUACAGAGCUCCAGCCUAGACCCAAAGGUUAUUGUGUCAACCCAAAAAUUGUUGGAGGCCAAGCUUGGAGAAUUUGGAGUUGGACUUUCUGAAAUCAAUGCUAAUAAUGACAAGUUGCAUCACUUUCACAAUGAACUUGUGGAGUUUAAGCUCCUUCUUGAGAAGGCUGGUGAUCUUUUUGCUUCAGCCAGAAGUUAUACCGCUCGAGGCUCUUUUGCUGCAGGAAGUACGAAAUCUUAGUUAACACUCAACUCACGACCAUUUUGCAACUUAACACUGAUAUAAACGGUUGCUUCUUCUACAUGUCCGGGAUAAGAAAAUUACAGCUACACAAUAAACUAAACCGGGCACAAGUGAUGUCAUAAAUAAAAUGGCUUCCAAUAAUCAUGCAUGCUAAUUUAAGAAUAAAUGAGUUACAUACUUCUCUGUUGAUCCAACAAAUCAAGUAAAGCUUGGAUUCCUCAUUGGGCUGGUUGAACGUCUGGUGUGGAGAAGGCUAGCAUCCUAUUACUCAGCUUCUCCUAGACAUUAAAAGUGCGGCAUUUUUCAAUUGCAUGAGUUUGCAUGCUUUCUUAACGUAUAUUUUUUUUGAUGAGUUUGCUUGAAACGCAUAUAACAUGUUUUGUUAUAUAUUUUAAAAAAUAUAUAAAA